GUUAAAACUGAUGUAAGUUAAAGCUGUAAUGAAUGUUCAUUAUAUUGUAUGCUGUCAUUGGAUCAAUGAGGAAGAACCUGGACAGGAAACUGUAACUAAUCCACUUGUGAAGUAUUCCCUUUUUACUUCCAAUUCUCAGGUGUCCUACAUUAGCCAAGACUGUGAAGAAAUUCCAGAAUUCCUGGGAAGAAAAUACGGACAUAUGGCAAAAAGGCUAGAUCUUAGUUUCAACUUGUUAAGAUGGACUGAAGACCAGUGUGAUGAUGGAUUCGCUUUCUGUGUGGGCACUAGAUGUGAUCUGGGGCUGAUACAAUCAUGAGCAAGGGUGAAAUCUGUACUCCUCAACAAAGUAUUUCCUCAUCACUGCUGUUGUGCAAGAAGAACGAAGGACUGCAGAAAUAACUGUUGUCUGAGGACAAGGAGCUUAACCGAAAGGAAGAAUCUACAUUAACCCUGGAGCUAUUAUCACUGUCUUUUCUUGUCUGUUUUGUCGAAAGAUAUUUUAUUUUCUCCUUAACCUAAUGAGUGAAAUUCCCAGCAUCUAACUGCAGAUAUAGAGAACUUGAUUGGUUUUGCUUGCCAUCACCAAGUAAGAAGGGCCUCUGUCCUCCAGUAUUGAACAUAUAUGUUGAGUGAUUAUGCUGUGAAUAGCUAGCUGACAUUUUGUAAACGAAGUCUAUUUGAAGAUUGUUUUUUGCAUUGCUGCUUUGCUUUAUGUUAUUUUGUGCUGGUUUUGUGAUCUUGCAUUUUACAGAAAUCAUAUUGGAGAUGAUUUUUCAGUUAAAAAAACCCAAACAAACCCUUAGCUACUGAAAGUGUGGAGAGUAAGUAUCGUAAAAAUGCCAAAGGCCAUGCAUUUUUCUAAGGCUAAAAGCCAGCAUGUCACACCAGAUAUGCUAUACAAUAAUUACACUGUUUCUAAGGUCAUAGUUAAUGCAGUGUUGUAGCUCAGUUGCAGACUUUACCCAUGAACUGAUGCUGCCAGUCAUGUGAAAUUUCGGCUUUUUAUGGUUUUCUGUUUUGUUUCUUUUGGUCUCUCUUUCUUGACCAUGCUUGCUUGAGUGAGUUGCUCACUGAAAGAAUGGGAAGGUAUGUUGACUGUCUUUUCCGUUCUUUAUAAUGUGUUCUCCCUUUUUAACUUUAUGCACCCACUGAGCCCAUAAAUGGUAGCAGUCAAUGUGCUUCAUAUUAUAUGGCUAUAAGAGUUUGUUUAUUUUUAAGACUGUUAAAUUGCUAAUGUUUGCUGGAACUUCUGCUAUGCUGCAAAAUGAUAGAGAUACGCUUUUAAAAGAACACAAAUAAAUCAGAGGAGGAGAUACA
rnacentral:lncRNA from 1 species